rnacentral:rRNA from 1 species
UACGUAGGCAGCGAGCGUUGUUCGGAGUUACUGGGCGUAAAGAGUGCGUAGGCGGUUUUCUAAGUUUGGUGUGAAAUCUCCCGGCUCAACUGGGAGGGUGCGCCGAAGACUGGAAGGCUUGAGUAUGGGAGAGGUAAGCGGAAUCCUGGUGUAGCGGUGAAAUGCGUAGAUAUCAGGAGGAACACCUGCGGUGUAGACGGCUUACUGGACCAUAACUGACGCUGAGGCACGAAAGCGUGGGUAGCAAACAGG